GAUGAACGCUGGCGGCGUGCUUAACACAUGCAAGUUGAACGGAAAGGCCAGUGCUUGCCCUGGUACUCGAGUGGCGAACGGGUGAGUAACACGUGGGUGAUCUGCCCUGUACUUCGGGAUAAGCUUGGGAAACUGGGUCUAAUACCGGAUAGGACAACUUUUUGGAUAUUGUUGUGGAAAGCUUUUGCGGUAUGGGAUGAGCUCGCGGCCUAUCAGCUUGUUGGUGGGGUAAUGGCCUACCAAGGCGUCGACGGGUAGCCGGCCUGAGAGGGUGUACGGCCACAUUGGGACUGAGAUACGGCCCAGACUCCUACGGGAGGCAGCAGUGGGGAAUAUUGCACAAUGGGCGCAAGCCUGAUGCAGCGACGCCGCGUGGGGGAUGAAGGCCUUCGGGUUGUAAACUCCUUUCGCUAGGGACGAAGCUUUUUUGUGACGGUACCUGGAGAAGAAGCACCGGCUAACUACGUG
rnacentral:rRNA from 1 species